CCUACGGGUGGCAGCAGUAGGGAAUCUUUCACAAUGGGCGAAAGCCUGAUGGAGCAACGUCGCGUGCAGGAUGAAGGCCUUCGGGUUGUAAACUGCUUUUAUAAGCGAGAAAUAUGAUGGUAACUUAUGAAUAAGGAUCGGCUAACUACGUGCCAGCAGCCGCGGUCAUACGUAGGAUCCGAGCAUUAUCCGGAGUGACUGGGUGUAAAGAGUUGCGUAGGUGGCAUAAUAAGUAGCUAGUGAAAUCUGGUGGCUCAACCAUUCAGACUAUUAGCUAAACUGUUAAGCUCGAGACCGUUAGGGGGAAGUGGAAUUUCUGGUGUAGGAGUGAAAUGCGUAGAGAUUAGAAGGAACACCAAUAGCGAAGGCAGGUUACUGGGACGGUUCUGACGCUAAGGCACGAAAGCGUAGGGAGCAAACGGGAUUAGAUACCCUGGUAGUC
rnacentral:rRNA from 1 species